AUUUGAAAUCCUCGACAAUGGCCACCAUGCGGCGGCCGACCUUUCCUUCGUGGGUUGUUACGCCAAGCUCUAUACCUGUCGCAGGAGAAGUACAUCAUCUGAGGCACAUGAAGCAUGGUUGGAUUCCAGGGAGGAUGAAGGGUGGCCAUCGCUUGAUAGGUAAGCAUUUGUUGUUGCAUCUGUUGUUGCAUUAAUUGUUGUUGUUGCAUUAGCAGUUGCUGACGCUGCUGUUGCUGUUGCUGUUGCUGUUGCUGUUGCUGUUGCUGUUGCUGUUGCUGCUGCUGCUGCUGCUGCUGCUGCUGCUGCUGUCCUUGUACUUGAUUUUGACGUGGCAAAAUCGGUGAAUUGCGAGCAG